rnacentral:rRNA from 1 species
AUGUCGUGUGUGUUCGGUAGAUUCAGUAUCUUUAUGUUAAUUUGUCUGUAUUGCUACUCUGCCGUCACUAGUAUUGUAGAUGGUUCUCGCUGGUUUCAUGAUGUUUUCCUUUGCAUGCUAAUUAUACAAGGAUGGGUGCUAUCAAUCUGCUCCUUUGUGAAUCUAUACUGCAUGCUUAUGAAGAAAACCAUUUGCCUGUUUAACCUGCUCUUGUACGUACUAGGUAAAGGAAUUAAAUUAAUGACAAAUUAUGUAUUGUGUAUAACACUCAGUUCCCCCAUUCUCUCUUCCUUUGAAGGUGGCGCCGCUGGCUGUGAUGAGAGUUGUGAAAUAGCCAUGGUUUCAUCGGAGAAGAAGGCAGUGUAG